GAUGAACGCUAGCGGCAGGCCUAAUACAUGCAAGUCGAACGGGAUCUGAGGGUAGCUUGCUACCCGAUUUGAGAGGGGCGCACGGGUGCGUAACGCGUGAGCAACCUACCCAUAUCAGGGGGAUAGCCCGAAGAAAUUCGGAUUAACACCGCAUAAUAAUACGCUAACACAUGUUAAUGUAUUUAAAUAUUUAUAGGAUAUGGAUGGGCUCGCGUGACAUUGGUUAGUUGGUAAGGUAACGGCUUACCAAGGCGACGAUGUCUAGGGGCUCUGAGAGGAGAAUCCCCCACACUGGUACUGAGACACGGACCAGACUCCUACGGGAGGCAGCAGUAAGGAAUAUUGGUCAAUGGGCGCAAGCCUGAACCAGCCAUGCCGCGUGCAGGAUGACUGCCCUAUGGGUUGUAAACUGCUUUUGUUAGGGAAUAAACCUACUUAUGUAUAAGUAGCUGAAUGUACCUAAAGAAUAAGGAUCGGCUAACUCCGUGCCAGCAGCCGCCGUAA
rnacentral:rRNA from 1 species